rnacentral:lncRNA from 1 species
GGCAUGGCAGCUGGCGCCUGUAAUCCCAACUACUUGAGAGGCUGAGGCAGGAGAAUUGCUUGAACCCAGGAGGUGGAGGUUGCAGUGAGUUGAGUAGCAGAGCAAGACUCUGUCUCUCUGUCUCUCUCUCUCUCUGUCACACACACACACACACACACACACACACACACACACACGCACACACAGAGAAACAUCCCAGUGUGGUUAAACCUCUGGGCCUCUUCCUGCCUCUGAUUUUCAUCAAUGAGAAUGGGAGAAUAUUAACUUCUCUCACAGGAUACAGAGUAUGUUAAGGAGUCGUAAUUCAUCAAUGUUGUAUUGGUUUUUCUCUUUCUUUCUUUCUUUCUUUUUUUUUUUAUCCUUUGUUGGUGCUUUGCUGUCUGUGUGGAGGACACAGAGAGUCAUAAACCACGAUCUCCUCUCUUCCAGAGUUCCUUCUUGGCGUUAGAGUCAUCGGCCGGCUGUGUUGUAGCCAAUGUGCUGAGCUUUGCGGCUCCUGGAGCUAGCUCCCUUCCUCUCCGCUGCCUCCAUGCGUGGAGGUCACUUGCUGGAACGCAGAUGUGUGCAAUGCCCAGAGAUCCAAGUAAAAUAUCUCAACCGGUUCUUGUGGUUGUGGAAACACCUUUGGCUCCCAGAUGGUUGACACUGACAAACAGAAGUCCCUGCUCCGUCUGACAUCACGUGGCUCAGCUGCCUUCUCAAAAAGUGAGCUUCCUGUGUGGAUAAGGCAGCCCCAUAGCCAGCCUGGCAACAGACAGCUUCAUGAGAAGGGAAAAGAUGAAGACGGAUUCCCGGGCGAGGCCGACAGUGAGGCCGACAGUGGAUCCGCCAUUCCUGCCUGAGCCUCUUCCACAGCUGUCCUUUUUAGAGGUCACCAGACCUUCCUCACACAGACCUCAUGGUGCCCGCACCUGGACUCAUUAGAAGUCUUAGGGCUGGAAGAGAUGCAGCUCUGGGCUGGCUCUGAUGCGGACUUGUCACAAAGGCUUGGACAGCUGUUUCCAGCCACUGCUAUGAACCCAUCUAAGUGAAAUUGUGAGGACUAAGGAGAGAGGCACCCAUGACUGCCUUAAUCCACUCCUACCCAUCGUCUCUUCACCCAUCCACCCAUCCUUGCUGCAGACCUUUACUGGGCACCUGUGCCAGGAGACCAUCACUGCCCAUCAGAAGCUCAUACAGGGAGAAGCAGUGGCCACAGCAGAAGGCGUCCCGGGUCCUAGAGAGCACCUGGAGAACAAGGGAGAGCUGCAGAAACCGCCCUGUCUGCAUGUGUGCCCUCAUGUUCUUGGGUGCAUGUCUGUGUUUGUGUGUGUGUUUGCUUAUGUGCAUGUGCAGUGUGUGUGUGUUCGAGACAGAGCGAGACUGAGAGUGCAAGUGGGUGUAAGCACACACACCCACCCGUCAGCCCUGCCUGUCUGCUCAGAGUUUUGCCUGUCACCCGGCCACGCCCUGUGACCCCCCUCCUCGGCUGGGUGCAGCCAGGACACCUGUUGCCAGCUGCGAGCACCUGCCUGGUUGCUGCGCCCGUGUCCUGUGCAUGUUCCAAGCCAGCCCCCUGGGGUAAUCCAGGCCAUGACUCAGGAACGUCAUGUUGGGACACCCGAGACCCCCAGCCCCUGCCCUAGGGGUCAGGGCAGCAGGUCCCAUCUCCCUUAGCUGGGCUGGGCCCAGGCAGCCUGUAUCACUGUUUGCUCCAGAGGCUGGGUGCGUCCUGCUUGGGGGCUGUGUGAGGCCCGCUUGUUUUCACCCACAGAUUCCCAGGGUUCUCAAGGCAGAGGAAAGCGACAAUUAGGGCAACACCCAUGUUGGUUGGAUCAGAGUGAAUCCCAGGCCUGCUUGGGAGGCUUUAGGCACUCAGCUCGGCCAUCUCUGAGGGUAAGGGCAUGUCAGCCACUCUGCUGGGGCAUCUCUGUGCUCAGCACCAUGUGGGCUCAUCACAGACACAAGAGUGCGUCCUCUCAGAGGGAAUGGUCUGGCAGGUUUUGCCUGUUUUCCUGCUCACAGGUUGAAUUUCUUGGCCAGCAUCCCAUAGCCAGGCCAGAGCGGAGCAGGGCUGCCUGCUGCACCCAGUGGCUUCUUGUCAAUCUCGGCCUCUCGUUCCCUGCCUGGGAGAGGGUCUCAGUGUGAAGGGCAGAGGGGUCUUCUGGAACCAGCCAGUGCUGUGUCGGAGAGAAAGACCAGGAGGAAAUUGGAGGGGUACAGGCCUGAAACUCUCCCGCUGCCUUGCCAGGCACCCAAACCUGCUUGACCUGAGUGUCUUUCCGGCGGCGGGUGGGGGGGAGGGGGGUGGGGCGUGCUGCAUCGCUUACUUUGCCUGUGUCUUAGGGGAGCCUACCCAUUGCCCUCCAGCACCGGCGAACAAAGACCCCCACGGUGGCCAGGCCUGUGCGGGGUGUAAACAGUGUCCCAGGGUGUCUUGGUGUCCUCACUACUACAUCCUCCACGUUCCAGAGGAGAAACUGAGGCCCGAGGACACCCAGAAUUUCCCAGGGUCACACCAAGGGGAAACAGGUGACGUUGAAGUGGACACAGGGUGAUGAGAGGGGUGCAGAAAAGGAGAUACCCUGGCAUGCCAAGCCUGGGGCUGGUUGUCCACAUCCAGGAAGGUCCCUGCAAGGUUGUGGCACCUUUUCAUGGCAAGCAGACGCAGCACCAUGAAUACCCACAGCCACUCCUAAGGGCCCCUUCAUGCGGUGGCUGUGCCCAGCACUGGGCACGCAGGAACCAAGGCCCAGAGAGUUCUGGGUGGGUGGGGAGAGCUAGAGCCUUCCUUCUGGGCUCCAGGGCUUUUCAGUAGCACCACUGGCUUUCUAGAAGGUUGCUGUGUGAUUGGAAACUUGUGCUUUGAGAUACGAUUAUCUGUGUGGGGAGGAGGUUGUACUGGAGUCAGCAGUGAGGGGUGGCAGCACUAGGCCAGAAAUGGAUGUGGGGUCCUCUUGCGUGGAGCUGCCACUCCCCCAGCCACUCUGUCCUUACAACCAAAACCCCAAAAGGGGGCUGAGCCGGCCCUUGUGAGUGAGAGUAGAGGAGAAGGAAGGGGCUGUGGGGGGAGAGAAGCACAUGGAGCUGGCCCACGUGGAGAGAGGGACCCUGGGUGGCAGGGUGGCGUUGGGGGAGAUUUGCCAUCAGAGUGACCUUAGUGACUGUGCCACCUCGACCCUGACCUGGGCAAUGCCUGUGAGGGCACUGGGGCCCAAGGUCCCAGAGGAGCAGGGGAACUAAGAUGUGGCUCUCACAGAACCUCAAAUGUAUCUCCAGACAUCCACAUAUCUGCACCUGACACACAUUUCUGGAACAGCUACUUGGCCAAGCACCACCAGUUUGUCUCUAUGCCCCUCUUGCUGGGGAGCCCAGUCUGGGGCAAAGGAAGGCACAGGGGCAUCCGCUCCAGGCUUUCCAGAAUAGGCAGAACACAGAAGGGGUGCCCGCCGGACACGCGGAGGGAGGAGAUGAGAAGAGUCCCCAGCGCCAGAAGGGGUGGAGACGGCCUUGCUGGGGCAGGGCCACAGGUCACCUGCUGCUGGGCUCUGGCUGCAGUGGGAAACAACCAAAGUUUUAAAAAGAGGGUGAACCUCUUAGGAAAGGAAAUGACAUUUAUAAAGAGGUAGGGACGUGGGGGCAGGGAUGAUGGCCUUGGUGGCCACAGCUCUUAAACCAGUGGGGAGGAGGCAGCCACGCCAGCAUGGUGAGAUCCAAGCCGCAGUGACGGGGCUGCACUCGCUCCAGGUAGAUUGCUCAAAUGGAAGCUUCUGGAUGGAUAACUAAGGCAGCACAACCCCCAGUCAUUGUCUGAGGGCCACCCUGGGGGAUGGAGCGAGUGCAGGCCAAGUGGAUGCAGGGCCCACGGCCAGUUUCCAGGGUGAGCUGCAGGGCAAGCCGUGGGAAGCCCCAGAGGCAGACGCUGAGGGAUGGGCACCCCAAGAGAGUCCAGGGAUCCGAGGCCACCUGGGUGGAGCCCGGACAGCGUCUACUCCAGGGAGCAAAGCUGAGGCAGGAGCCGAGGGCUUUCCAGUGGAUGUGGAGACUUCGGCUUACUCCCGCACUGACUUUAUCCCAUUUCUGAGCCUGUCGGCACGUGUAGAGCAUUUUGGGCUCAGUUUCUCUAGAGACUAACUGUGGCCUCCCAUGGGGUGGGGACAGGACAGUCUCCCGGCUGCAUGGAAUGGGAUGCCGACCGAGGGACGGGCUCUCUCUUAAAGACUUGCCACCACACCUCUCUUGUCCAUGCCAGGCUUCUGGGGUCCCCUCUGCUGCAGGUGCUUCGGGAGUCUCAGUGGUUCUUCAGGGCAAAGCUGGCCCUGACCGUGUGCUGCAUGCCCGGAGGUCUGACAUCGGUGCUGCUGAGUGGCCUGCCGUGGUUCUCUUGGUUUCCCAUCUUGCAAAGAGUCGGUGAACUCUCACCUGCUCUUGUCUCCUCGUCUCUGUGCCCUGUCCUCCUGCGGGGCUUGGGAAACCAUAGGUGAUAAACACAUGAGCCAAUCUGCCAUCUCCACUGGAGCCAAUGCUCUUUCUGUGUUCCCAUUGGCCUGCCUAGGACUGAGGUCAGCUCCAGGGUCAGAGGCAGGACUGGAGUUGGGUUCUAACUGAGGCAGAGACAGGGCUUGGGAGAAGAAAUCAAGGUGGAGGGCAGAGGCUCCAGGUCUUUGCCAGGCUCACCUCAGAAGUGGGUGUGUCAGGCUGUCCAGAGUGGAGUGCACAGAAGCUGGGGCUUUGACAAGGGCAGGGUGACCAGUCCAGGCUGGCCUCAAAGGCAAGAGCUUGACUGCAGGGCCAGCAGGCGUGUGAUGUGGGUGGGCCCUAAGGAGGCUGAGGGAGAGGAUAAACUGUGAAGAGCCAGCAGCCCAGAAGCUAAAUGCAGGGAGGCAGAGAAGACAGGAGAGAUGGAGGCUUGCAGGACCUGGUGGUUGGGGAGGGCCAGUGACCAGGUGUUUAGAAGCAGCACCUCCUGUGAUUGGGGCUGAGGGUGAACUCUGCUUUCAAGCAGAGGUGGUUUGUCGUGGGUCUUCCAUGAUGACACCAGGUCAAGAGCCUCCAGAUGCUCAGAGUCUUGCAGGCUCAGAACAAGAAUUGUCAACUUGCCAAGAUGAAUCUGUCUCUCGGGGGAGGACCCACACAGAACAAACGUUUGAAGCAGAAGUUUGCUUGGUAAACAUGGAAUCGGAACAUGGGAAUUGGGCCACUGGGAUAUUCAAUUGCGUCAGACCAUUGUAGCUGAUACUCCUGGACAGAGGGGCUUUGCCAACUGGACAGAUAUAUGAAGUGUUGCUGACCGAGCUCCUUGCUCUGUGUGGGAGGGAUCUUGCCAGCUCCAGCCUUGGUGGGUCUCCUUUUUCUGUUUCCAAGCUUAAAUAAGCACUUGGCUGUUCUGAUUAGCACUUUUAAAAGCUGUGUUAAUAAGUUCAAUUAAAAUAGAAGAAUCUCUCAUUCUGUCAUAUCGGGUUUUUUUAAUUGCAAACCAAUAAAACUUAAAUGAACUUGAGCAAAA